UACAGAGGGGGCAAGCGUUGUUCGGAAUUACUGGGCGUAAAGGGCGCGUAGGCGGCCUUCUAAGUCGAACGUGAAAUCCCCGGGCUCAACCCGGGAACUGCGUCCGAUACUGGAAGGCUUGAAUCCGGGAGAGGGAUGUGGAAUUCCAGGUGUAGCGGUGAAAUGCGUAGAUAUCCGGAGGAACACCGGUGGCGAAGGCGGCUUCCUGGACCGACACUGACGCUGAGGCGCGAAAGCUAGGGGAGCAAACGGG
rnacentral:rRNA from 1 species